rnacentral:lncRNA from 1 species
UGCAGUCUUGUUACACCAAACAGUCCUAUCAACCCUCCUAUAAUUAUAUUAUCUUCAAUAAUAUAAUGGUCUAUACGCUCACGAAGAGUUGCUUCGAGAGCCAAACGACAAAUGUUUGGCCUCUUCGCACUCACAUUUAUGGCGAAGCACCGACUGAUCCACGCCGGGCCUUAUCACACCCGGCCCUACCCUGGAUGCGUAACGCUCAUCCGACUCACGACAGAUAAACGACAACCUAACAUCUUCAAAUCAUAACGGAAGCGCCUUAUACGCCACCCAAAGUCUCAAAUAAAUCAACACGCGGUUCGCCUUACUACCUUCGGUUGGCUUAGCCACCUGCGGAUAGCGACUAACUCGGUCGUGGCACGUAAUUUGUGCGCUCCAGAUGUUUUGGCGUGACACAUAAACUUGAUGACUGAAGCAGCCGAAGCUUGUACGAUCGUCGCAACUGUCGUACACUCCAUGGGCUGUGCAGGUGCUGUGGUUAUACGACGCCAGGCUAGCGCAGGUGCCGGCUGGCCCACGCCACGUCCGCCACACGACAGCUGCCUGCCGGCGGUGGCGGCGGCACCGCCGCUGACAGUGUAAGUCGAUGACAAGGAGGAAGUGCGCACCAGGGAGGGACAUCCGCCGCCGCCGCCGCCAAAAGCCGAUGUACGGCGCUUGUCUGACGUCAUCACCUCCAGCACGUGUCUCGGAAAGACUUCUUCAAGGAUGCGGUGCUGUACGGCGGGUGGUGGCGAACCCGCCGUCGUACCAUCCAUGAAGCAUCAAGAUCCAGAUCCAGGUCCAGGGAAGGUGAGCCGAUGAGAGCACGGCCCAAAAGAAAAUGGGAUCAAAGGCCACACAGUUCGUUUUGAAUUUCAUUCCGCAAAGCUGGAAGGUACACCAUUCAAAUCCCAACGGAUGCAAUAACAUUUAUACAUAUCGCUUGGCNNNNNNNNNNNNNNNNNNNNNNNNNNNNNNNNNNNNNNNNNNNNNNNNNNUACUUGAGGUCGAUUAACACUGCGUAUUCGAUGUGCCUCGGAAGGCUAACGAGCUGUGUUGGCUUAGUGCGCGGACGCGAAAAGCCUUGCUCAAUAGAUGGGUAACACCACUUGGAGAAUAUACAGCGACGGAUCGCUUUCAACAAUAGCUGCACAAUAUACUCGGGGUACUGGCGCCCGAUCCCUUGCUUCUCACGGCCGCCUACUUCAGGACGACUCGCCGACCUUCUCGGUCGUUUGGCUGUGGGGUAAUGAUGAUGAUACAAUACGAUAGGAGCUCUCCUUGAAGCUCCGGCUUGACUUGGCUGACUCACUCCAGCUUCGUUAACUUGAUUUGCGCGAUCGCAGUAGGCGAGGACGGGCUGGGAACGGAUCCCUGUCGAGCCUAGAGGUAGGAGCACUAAGGGCGGACCUUAUGGAAUGCUGUGUGUACACUCUCUGUCUAUCCUGCUCUGCUGCGCGUGUCGAGGUAGGGUAGGAUUGCAGUCUUGUUACACCAAACAGUCCUAUCAACCCUCCUAUAAUUAUAUUAUCUUCAAUAAUAUAAUGGUCUAUACGCUCACGAAGAGUUGCUUCGAGAGCCAAACGACAAAUGUUUGGCCUCUUCGCACUCACAUUUAUGGCGAAGCACCGACUGAUCCACGCCGGGCCUUAUCACACCCGGCCCUACCCUGGAUGCGUAACGCUCAUCCGACUCACGACAGAUAAACGACAACCUAACAUCUUCAAAUCAUAACGGAAGCGCCUUAUACGCCACCCAAAGUCUCAAAUAAAUCAACACGCGGUUCGCCUUACUACCUUCGGUUGGCUUAGCCACCUGCGGAUAGCGACUAACUCGGUCGUGGCACGUAAUUUGUGCGCUCCAGAUGUUUUGGCGUGACACAUAAACUUGAUGACUGAAGCAGCCGAAGCUUGUACGAUCGUCGCAACUGUCGUACACUCCAUGGGCUGUGCAGGUGCUGUGGUUAUACGACGCCAGGCUAGCGCAGGUGCCGGCUGGCCCACGCCACGUCCGCCACACGACAGCUGCCUGCCGGCGGUGGCGGCGGCACCGCCGCUGACAGUGUAAGUCGAUGACAAGGAGGAAG